AUACAGAGGGUGCAAGCGGUAUUCGGAAUUACUGGGCGUAAAGCGCGCGUAGGCGGACGAUUAAGUCAGUUGUGAAAGCCCUGGGCUCAACCUAGGAACUGCAUCUGAUACUGGUCGUCUAGAGUUUAAGAGAGGGAAGUGGAAUUCCAGGUGUAGCAGUGAAAUGCGUAGAUAUCUGGAGGAACAUCAGUGGCGAAGGCGACUUCCUGGCUUAAAACCGACGCUGAGGUGCGAAAGCGUGGGUAGCGAACGGGAUUAGAAACCCUAGUAGUCC
rnacentral:rRNA from 1 species